rnacentral:rRNA from 1 species
UGCGGAUUUAAUUGUUUCAAUUAAGUGGUAGGGGAGCAUUGUGUAAGCCUGUGAAGGUGUGUUGUAAAGCAUGCUGGAGGUAUCACAAGAGCGAAUGCUGACGUGAGUAACGACAAUGCGAGUGAAAAGCUCGCACGCCGGAAGACCAAGGGUUCCAGUCCAACGUUAAUCGGGGCUGGGUGAGUCGACCCCUAAGGCGAGGCCGAAAGGCGUAGUCGAUGGGAAAUCGGUUAAUAUUCCGAUACUUGUUUAUGAUGCGAUGGAGGGACGGAGAAGGUUAUGCCAGCUUGGCGAUGGUUGUCCAAGUGGAAGGAUGUAGUUAGGUUUAGUAGGCAAAUCCGCUAGACUAUUAAUGAGAUCUGAUAGCAAGCUGUACUUGUACAGCGAAGUGGCAAAUACCCUGCUUCCAGGAAAAGCUUCUAAGCGAUAGUCAUAAACAAAUCGUACCCUAAACCGACACAGGUGGUCAGGUAGAGAAUACUAAGGCGAUCGAGAGAAUCAUGGUUAAGGAACUCGGCAAAAUGCCCCCGUAACUUUGGGAUAAGGGGGACCUGAGCUGUCGUGCACCCGUGCGGUGUGGUGGCGGUGAGGGGCGCAGAGUCCAGGGGGAAACGACUGUUUACCAAAAACACAGGUCCGUGCGAAGUCGUAAGACGAUGUAUACGGACUGACUCCUGCCCGGUGCUGGAAGGUUAAGGGGAACUGUGAGUGUAUGCGUAGCGGUGAACUUAAGCCCCAGUAAACGGCGGUGGUAACUAUAACCAUCCUAAGGUAGCGAAAUUCCUUGUCGGGUAAGUUCCGACCUGCACGAAUGGAGUAACGAUUUCCCUACUGUCUCCACCAUGAACUCGGUGAAAUUGCAUUACGAGUAAAGAUGCUCGUUACGCGCAGCAGGACGGAAAGACCCCGGGACCUUUACUAUAGUUUGGUAUUGGUGAUUGGGACGGUUUGUGUAGGAUAGGUGGGAGACGUUGAUGCGGCCACGCUAGUGGUGGUGGAGUCGUUGGUGAAAUACCACUCUGAUUGUUCUGGUUAUCUCACUGUGGACCGUGAUCCGGUUCAAGGACAGUGCCUGAUGGGUAGUUUGACUGGGGCGGUCGCCUCCUAAAGGGUAACGGAGGCGCCCAAAGGUUCCCUCAGCCUGGUUGGUAAUCAGGUGGUGAGUGUAAGUGCACAAGGGGGCUUGACUGUGAGACUGACAGGUCGAGCAGGGACGAAAGUCGGGACUAGUGAUCUGACGGUGGCUUGUGGAUGCGCCGUCACUCAACGGAUAAAAGGUACCCCGGGGAUAACAGGCUGAUCUUGCCCGAGCGCUCAUAGCGACGGCAUGGUUUGGCACCUCGAUGUCGGCUCGUCGCAUCCUGGGGCUGGAGUCGGUCCCAAGGGUUGGGCUGUUCGCCCAUUAAAGCGGCACGCGAGCUGGGUUCAGAACGUCGUGAGACAGUUCGGUCCCUAUCUACCGUGGGCGUUGGAAAUUUGAGAGGAUCUGCUCCUAGUACGAGAGGACCAGAGUGGACGAACCUCUGGUGUUUCGGUUGUCACGCCAGUGGCAUUGCCGAGUAGCUAUGUUCGGAUGGGAUAACCGCUGAAAGCAUCUAAGCGGGAAGCCCACCUUAAGAUUAGAUUUCCCUAAAGAGCCGUUGUAGACUACGACGUUGAUAGGUUGGGUGUGGAAGCACAGCGAUGUGUGUAGCUAACCAAUACUAAUUGCUCGUUUG